rnacentral:rRNA from 1 species
UGAGCAAUCUGCCCUUCUCAUCGGAAUAAGCGUUGGAAACGACGUCUAAUGCCGAAUACGACCUCCUUUCGCAUGAUCGGAGGUGGAAAGCUCCGGCGGAGAAGGAUGAGCUCGCGGCCUAUCAGCUAGUUGGUGUGGGUAAUGGCCCACCAAGGCGACGACGGGUAGCCGGCCUGAGAGGGUGACCGGCCACACUGGGACUGAGACACGGCCCAGACCUCCGUAGGGAGG